rnacentral:tRNA from 1 species
GAGGUUGUAGCUCAGUGGUAGAGCACUUGCCUCACAUGUGUGAGGCACUGCGUUUGAUUCUCAGCACCACA